GAUCAUGGCUCAGGAUGAACGCUAGCUACAGGCUUAACACAUGCAAGUCGAGGGGCAGCAUUUUUAUAGCAAUAUAAAAGAUGGCGACCGGCGCACGGGUGAGUAACACGUAUCCAACCUGCCGAUAACUCGGGGAUAACCCUUCGAAAGAAGGCCUAAUACCCGAUGGCAUAUCCCUUCCGCCUGGUGGGGAUAUUAAAGAACUUCGGUUAUCGAUGGGGAUGCGUUCCAUUAGCUUGUUUGGGCGGGGGUUAAACGGGCCCCG
rnacentral:rRNA from 1 species